AUACGUAGGUGGCAAGCGUUGUCCGGAAUUAUUGGGCGUAAAGCGCGCGCAGGUGGUUCCUUAAGUCUGAUGUGAAAGCCCCCGGCUCAACCGGGGAGGGUCAUUGGAAACUGGGGCACUUGAGUGAAGAAGAGGAUAGUGGAAUUCCAAGUGUAGCGGUGAAAUGCGUAGAGAUUUGGAGGAACACCAGUGGCGAAGGCGACUGUCUGGUCUGUAACUGACACUGAGGCGCGAAAGCGUGGGGAGCAAACAGGAUUAGAUACCCUGGUAGUCCACGCCGUAAACGAUGAGUGCUAAGUGUUGGGGGGUUUCCGCCCCUCAGUGCUGCAGCUAACGCAUUAAGCACUCCGCCUGGGGAGUACGGUCGCAAGACUGAAACUCAAAGGAAUUGACGGGG
rnacentral:rRNA from 1 species